rnacentral:rRNA from 1 species
GGAUCAUCACUGAUUCUUUAACCUGGCAAAGUGGCGCAAGCUGCUUUGCCGCCAAGGUGUGGCUCCGCACCUUGUUCAACUAAACUGGGCUACCAUUUUACACACGGUUGCAUCUGUCGGGGCUUCGGCGCCGACAAAUCUUUUUACACACGCUGAUCUGUAGUAUUUGUAUGGAUAAUGACUGGUAAUGCGGUCGUAUAAUCAAAAAACAACUUUUGGCAACGGAUCUCUUGGUUCUCCCAUCGAUGAAGAACGCAGCGAAACGCGAUAGGUAAUGUGAAUUGCAGAAUGUGAAUCAUCGAAUCUUUGAACGCACCUUGCGCUCUCCUGGACUUACAUCCGGAGAGCAUGCCUGUCUGAGGGCCGCGAAUUUCUUCGAGCGCCAGCUUUUUUCAAUCUGAAAGAAGUUGACGGAUCGGUUCUGAGGGCUGCCAUUUGCACUGGCUCCCUCGAAAUACAUCAGCUGGACUGCACAUGCUAGAGGAAGGAUAUACGUCCCUCUCCCUCCGGAUUUUGAUAAUUAUCAAAGAACGGACGUGAUGGAAACUUCUUAUCUCGAAUAUGGUGGCUGGCUUUAACCCGCCCCACGGCGUCAUAUGCCGAGGGGAUUUUUAAUUCAAACGGCCUCAGAUCAGGUAGGACUACCCGCUGAAC